rfam:Candidate division WOR-1 bacterium RIFOXYC12_FTLL_54_18 RifOxyC12_full_WOR_1_54_18_curated_complete, whole genome shotgun sequence.
GACCGGCUAGCUCAUCAGGUAGAGCACUUGCCUUUUAAGCAAGUGGUGCUGGGUUCGAGUCCCAGGCCGGUCA